rnacentral:tRNA from 1 species
GGGGUGGUAGCUCAGUUGGGAGAGCAUCUGUUUUGCAAGCAGAGGGCCAGGGGUUCGAGUCCCCUUCACUCCACCA